rnacentral:rRNA from 1 species
CAGUCGCCGCGGGAAUACGUAGGUCCCGAGCGUUGUCCGGAUUUAUUGGGCGUAAAGGGAGCGCAGACGGCAGUGCAAGUCUGAAGUGAAAGGCGUGGGCUCAACCCAUGAACUGCUUUGGAAACUGUAUAGCUUGAGUGUCGGAGGGGUAAGCGGAAUUCCUAGUGUAGCGGUGAAAUGCGUAGAUAUUAGGAGGAACACCGGAGGCGAAGGCGGCUUACUGGACGACAACUGACGUUGAGGCUCGAAGGCGUGGGGAGCAAACAGGAUUAGAUACCCCUGUAGUCCCUGUCUCUUAUAC